UACAGAGGGUGCGAGCGUUGUCCGGAAUCACUGGGCGUAAAGAGCUCGUAGGCGGUUUGUCGCGUCUGCCGUGAAAGUCCGGGGCUCAACUCCGGAUCUGCGGUGGGUACGGGCAGACUAGAGUGAUGUAGGGGAGACUGGAAUUCCUGGUGUAGCGGUGAAAUGCGCAGAUAUCAGGAGGAACACCGGUGGCGAAGGCGGGUCUCUGGGCCGUAACUGACGCUGAGGAGCGAAAGCAUGGGGAGCGAACAGG
rnacentral:rRNA from 1 species